rnacentral:rRNA from 1 species
GUGGCGGACGGGUGAGUAACGCGUAAAGAACUUGCCUUACAGACUGGGACAACAUUUGGAAACGAAUGCUAAUACCGGAUAUUAUGACUGAGUCGCAUGAUUUGGUUAUGAAAGCUAUAUGCGCUGUGAGAGAGCUUUGCGUCCCAUUAGUUAGUUGGUGAGGUAACGGCUCACCAAGACGAUGAUGGGUAGCCGGCCUGAGAGGGUGAACGGCCACAAGGGGACUGAGACACGGCCCUUACUCCUACGGGAGGCAGCAGUGGGGAAUAUUGGACAAUGGACCAAAAGUCUGAUCCAGCAAUUCUGUGUGCACGAUGAAGUUUUUCGGAAUGUAAAGUGCUUUCAGUUGGGAAGAAGUCAGUGACGGUACCAACAGAAGAAGCGACGGCUAAAUACGUGNCCAGCAGCCGCGGUAAUACGUAUGUCGCAAGCGUUAUCCGGAUUUAUUNGGGCGUAAAGCGCGUCUAGGCGGUUUAGUAAGUCUGAUGUGAAAAUGCGGGGCUCAACCCCGUAUUGCGUUGGAAACUGCUAAACUAGAGUACUGGAGAGGUAGGCGGAACUACAAGUGUAGAGGUGAAAUUCGUAGAUAUUUGUAGGAAUGCCGAUGGGGAAGCCAGCCUACUGGACAGAUACUGACGCUAAAGCGCGAAAGCGUGGGUAGCAAACAGGAUUAGAUACCCUGGUAGUCCACGCCGUAAACGAUGAUUACUAGGUGUUGGGGGUCGAACCUCAGCGCCCAAGCUAACGCGAUAAGUAAUCCGCCUGGGGAGUACGUACGCAAGUAUGAAACUCAAAGGAAUUGACGGGGACCCGCACAAGCGGUGGAGCAUGUGGUUUAAUUCGACGCAACGCGAGGAACCUUACCCAGCGUUUGACAUCCCAAGAAGUUAACAGAGAUGUUUUCGUGCCUCUUCGGAGGAACUUGGUGACAGGUGGUGCAUGGCUGUCGUCAGCUCGUGUCGUGAGAUGUUGGGUUAAGUCCCCCAACGAGCGCAACCCCUUUCGUAUGUUACCAUCAUUAAGUUGGGAACUCAUGCGAGACUGCCUGCGAUGAGCAGGAGGAAGGUGGGGAUGACGUCAAGUCAUCAUGCCCCUUAUACGCUGGGCUACACACGUGCUACAAUGGGUAGUACAGAGAGCUGCAAACCUGCGAGGGUAAGCUAAUCUCAUAAAACUAUUCUUAGUUCGGAUUGUACUCUGCAACUCGAGUACAUGAAGUUGGAAUCGCUAGUAAUCGCAAAUCAGCUAUGUUGCGGUGAAUACGUUCUCGGGUCUUGUACACACCGCCCNUCACACCACGAGAGUUGGUUGCACCCUGAAGUAACAGGCCUAACCGUAAGGAGGG